UAAGACAGAGGUGGCAAGCGUUGUUCGGAAUUACUGGGCGUAAAGGGCGCGCAGGCGGUCCGCCAAGUCCCGUGUGAAAUCCCCCGGCUCAACUGGGGAACUGCGCGGGAAACUAGUGGACUUGAGUUCGGGAGAGGAAAGCGGAAUUCCGGGUGUAGCGGUGAAAUGCGCAGAUAUCCGGAGGAACACCAGUGGCGAAGGCGGCUUUCUGGACCGACACUGACGCUGAGGCGCGAAAGCUGGGGGAGCGAACGGGAUUAGAUACCCCGGUAGUCCUAGCCCUAAACGAUGAGCACUGGGUGUAGGGGGUAUGAACCCCCCCUGUGCCGAAGCUAACGCAUUAAGUGCUCCGCCUGGGGAGUACGGUCGCAAGGCUG
rnacentral:rRNA from 1 species